rnacentral:lncRNA from 1 species
CAGCCAGGCCCUGGAUCGCCCCUCAGGCCUUGGGAGGUGGCAGUGACCCCAACAGGUGAAGCUUCCUGCCCCAGUGUCAUUGUAGAGGGAAGAGCCAACUGACAAGACAGGGUCUCACUGUGUGCUGGCCUUGAGCUUGCAGUGAUCCUCCUGCCUCAGCCUCCCAAGUGCUGGGAUCACAGCUCUGAGCUCACAGCUAGCAGGCAAGGGAGACUGAAGCUACUGAGACGAAGUGAAAGCUAAGGACUUGGGAGGGCCUCAGGGAGAAACAUGGCUGAUGGGACUGCACAGGAUUCUGCUCCCACAUGAGUCUUUCCACAGGCAUCAGCUGGUGAG